GACGAACGCUGGCGGCGUGCUUAACACAUGCAAGUCGAACGGUGAAGCGCCUUCCUUUUUGGUGGGUGUGGAUGAGUGGCGAACGGGUGAGUAACACGUGAGUAACCUGCCCCCUUCUUCUGGAUAACCGCAUGAAAGUGUGGCUAAUACGGGAUAUUCUGGGUCUGUCGCAUGAUGGGUCUGGGAAAGAUAUUGUUUCGGUGGGGGAUGGGCUCGCGGCCUAUCAGCUUGUUGGUGGGGUGAUGGCCUACCAAGGCGGGGACGGGUAGCCGGCCUGAGAGGGUGGACGGUCACACUGGGACUGAGACCCGGCCCAGACUGCUACGGGAGGCAGCAGUGGGGAAUAUUGCACAAUGGGCGCAAGCCUGAUGCAGCGACGCCGCGUGAGGGAUGGAGGCCUUCGGGUUGUGAACCUCUUUCGCCAGUGAAGCAGGCCUGCCUCGUUUGUGGGUGGGUUGACGGUAGCUGGAUAAGAAGCGCCGGCUAACUACGUG
rnacentral:rRNA from 1 species